GACGAACGCUGGCGGCGUGCCUAAUACAUGCAAGUCGAGCGAGCGGAACCAACAGAUUUACUUCGGUAAUGACGUUGGGAAAGCGAGCGGCGGAUGGGUGAGUAACACGUGGGGAACCUGCCCCUAAGUCUGGGAUACCAUUUGGAACAGGUGCUAAUACCGGAUAAUAAAGCAGAUCGCAUGAUCAGCUUUUGAAAGGCGGCGUAAGCUGUCGCUAAGGGAUGGCCCCGCGGUGCAUUAGCUAGUUGGUAAGGUAACGGCUUACCAAGGCGACGAUGCAUAGCCGAGUUGAGAGACUGAUCGGCCACAUUGGGGACUGAGACACGGGCCCAAAACUCCUACGGGGAGGCAGCAGUAGGGAAUCUUCCACAAUGGACGCAAGUCUGAUGGAGCAACGCCGCGUGAGUGAAGAAGGUUUUCGGAUCGUAAAGCUCUGUUGUUGGUGAAGAAGGAUAGAGGUAGUAACUGGCCUUUAUUUGACGGUAAUCAACCAGAAAGUCACGG
rnacentral:rRNA from 1 species